CUUCCCAGGGUUUCUCCUCCAGCAUCUUCCACAUUCACCUUGCCCCACAGGCUUGUGAUAGUAGCCUUGUCCUCCUCUGUGAAAUGACCCAUGGCGUCUGGACUAGGAGCUUAUUGAUAACCUCAGACGUUCCAGAAGCGAGUGUGUGGAACUGCUGAAGGGAGCUUAUUGAUAACCUCAGACGUUCCAGAAGCGAGUGUGUGGAACUGCUGAAGGGUGCUUCCUUUUAUUCUUCAUCCCUAGCCAGCCGCCGGCCCC
rnacentral:lncRNA from 1 species